UGGGGAAUUGUUCGCAAUGGGCGCAAGCCUGACGACGCAACGCCGCGUGGGGGAUGAAGGUCUUCGGAUUGUAAACCCCUGUUGGGUGGGACGAACACUUCCAUGGUGAACAGCCAUGGAGACUGCCGGUACCACCUGAGGAAGCCACGGCUAACUCUGUGCCAGCAGCCGCGGUAAUACAGAGGGGGCAAGCGUUGUUCGGAAUUACUGGGCGUAAAGGGCGCGUAGGCGGCCUGUUAAGUCAGACGUGAAAUCCCUCGGCUCAACCGGGGAACUGCGUCUGAUACUGGCGGGCUUGAAUUCGGGAGAGGGAUGUGGAAUUCCAGGUGUAGCGGUGAAAUGCGUAGAUAUCUGGAGGAACACCGGUGGCGAAGGCGGCAUCCUGGACCGACAUUGACGCUGAGGCGCGAAAGCCAGGGGAGCAAA
rnacentral:rRNA from 1 species